CCUACGGGAGGCAGCAGUGGGGAAUAUUGCACAAUGGGCGCAAGCCUGAUGCAGCGACGCCGCGUGAGGGAUGACGGCCUUCGGGUUGUAAACCUCUUUCAGUAGGGAAGAAGCGAAAGUGACGGUACCUGCAGAAGAAGCGCCGGCUAACUACGUGCCAGCAGCCGCGGUAAUACGUAGGGCGCAAGCGUUAUCCGGAAUUAUUGGGCGUAAAGAGCUCGUAGGCGGUUUGUCGCGUCUGCCGUGAAAGUCCGGGGCUCAACUCCGGAUCUACGGUGGGUACGGGCAGACUAGAGUGAUGUAGGGGAGACUGGAAUUCCUGGUGUAGCGGUGAAAUGCGCAGAUAUCAGGAGGAACACCGAUGGCGAAGGCAGGUCUCUGGGCAUUAACUGACGCUGAGGAGCGAAAGCAUGGGGAGCGAACAGGAUUAGAUACCCUGGUAGUCCAUGCCGUAAACGUUGGGCACUAGGUGUGGGGGACAUUCCACGUUUUCCGCGCCGUAGCUAACGCAUUAAGUGCCCCGCCUGGGGAGUACGGCCGCAAGGCUAAAACUCAAAGGAAUUGACGGGGGCCCGCACAAGCGGCGGAGCAUGCGGAUUAAUUCGAUGCAACGCGAAGAACCUUACCAAGGCUUGACAUGAACCGGUAAGACCUGGAAACAGGUCCCCCGCUUGCGGUCGGUUUACAGGUGGUGCAUGGUUGUCGUCAGCUCGUGUCGUGAGAUGUUGGGUUAAGUCCCGCAACGAGCGCAACCCUCGUUCUAUGUUGCCAGCACGUGAUGGUGGGGACUCAUAGGAGACUGCCGGGGUCAACUCGGAGGAGGGUGGGGAUGAGGUCAAGUCAUCAUGGCUCUUACGUCCAGGCUAGAAACGUGCUACAAUGGCUGAUACAAAGGGUUGCAAGACCGCAAGGUGGAGCGAAUCUUCAUCAAGUCCAGUCUAAGUUCCGAUCG
rnacentral:rRNA from 1 species